UGGGCUUCAUACUGACAUAGAUGUGUUAUCACUUGCUUUAAAAUACUCGGAACAGGUGCAAUUUAUGACGAUUGAUAUUUUCUGUAUUAUUGAAAGUUUAGGAUGAAUGUUGGGAAUCAGAUCCUCACCGGCGGCCAUCUUUCGAACUAAUUUUAGACGACUUAGACCACAUAGCACAUUCGUCUUUUACACAAACACCCCACGAAAGUUUUCACAUAAUGCAAGACGACUGGCGACAAGAAAUCGAAGAGGUACUCUUGGAAUUGCGCAGAAAAGAAAAGGAACUGCGAUGUAGAGAAGAGGACCUUAACAGAGCUCAGCUGCAGCAAAGGAUGCACGAGGAACAACUGCGGCAGAGAGA